UCCAUAGGAACCUUAGUGGUCUAGCACCAAGUCCUCAGGAUUAAUUAUUAUUCCACAGCGACUUGUUUGGAUAAUCAUGGUGACCUUGAUUUGGGGAAUUUAACAUUUAUCGUCAUUUAAUUUUAUGACUGCAAGAAAAUCUAUACUUAGAGUUAUGUCAUAACAUAAACCAUCUAGAGAUAUGAUGGGAUGGUGCAUUGCAAGUACCAUGGCAUAAA
rnacentral:lncRNA from 1 species